GUGCUCACUUCGGCAGCACAUAUCCUAAAACUGGAACAACACAGAGAAGAUUAGCAUGGCUCCUGCGCAAGGAUGGCAUGCACAUUCGUGAAGCGUUCCAUAUGUUU
ensembl:snRNA U6 U6 spliceosomal RNA